CAACCUUUCUUGGGAGUGCACUACACACCAUCUUGAUAUCAUUAACUUGUAUUACCCCACAAUGCCUCCUCUCUUUAUUCUGUACCCUAUAAUGCAAAUGCAAUAAUAAAAGAAAGAUUGACAAAAAAUUUUUUUAUGUAUUUAUGUAAUUUCUGAGUUUAUUAUGUAUCCUCACUCACACAUUCUCACAGACACACUCUGUCACUGACACAGGCUCGCUCCAUUA